rnacentral:rRNA from 1 species
AUGCCUGAAGGGGUAAACUCCACGUCUAUUGUUCUUAUUCCUAAGAUCCCCAACCCCACAAAGAUGUCUGACUAUAGGCCUAUCAGUUUAUGUAAUGUUAUAUAUAAGGUUACUUCCAAAUGCUUGGUCAAUUGGCUGAGGCCUUUGUUAGACAACUUAAUAUCUUCAGAACAGAGUGCUUUUAUUCUAGGGAGGAUGAUUGCUGAUAAUGCUCUGGUGGCCUUUGAGUGUAUUCACUAUAUUAAACAAGAGAAGGAUCUUACAAAAAGUUUGUGUGCAUAUAAACUUGAUCUGUUAAAAGCAUACGAUCGAGUGGAUUGGGUUUUCUUGAAACAGGUGUUGCAAAAGCUGGGUUUCUCUCAUCGAUGGAUUGAUUGGGUAAUGACGUGUGUCAUGUCGGUAAGAUAUUCUAUCAAACUUAACGAAACCCUCUUAGAUUCAUUUGCAUCGUCAAGUGGUCUUUGGCAAGGUGACCCACUCUCACCUCUCUUAUUUCUGUUUGUGGCGGAUGGUUUUUCUACUAUUCUGAAGAACAAGGUGGCCAUGGGCGAAAUCACUCCGGUUAAAGUUUGUAGAAGAGCUCUAGGUGUUAUCCCACUUAUUAUUUGCUGA